rnacentral:rRNA from 1 species
UACGGGGGGGGGCAAGCGUUGUUCGGAAUUACUGGGCGUAAAGGGCUCGUAGGCGGCCAACUAAGUCAGACGUGAAAUCCCUCGGCUUAACCGGGGAACUGCGUCUGAUACUGGAUGGCUUGAGGUUGGGAGAGGGAUGCGGAAUUCCAGGUGUAGCGGUGAAAUGCGUAGAUAUCGGGAGGAACACCAGUGGCGAAGGCGGCGGUCUGGACCGAUACUGACGCUGAGAUGCGAAAGCGUGGGGAGCAACAGG